CGCGGGAGCAAUCCUGGCGGCGAGUGGCGAACGGGUGAGUAAUACAUCGGAACGUGCCCAAUCGUGGGGGAUAACGCAGCGAAAGCUGUGCUAAUACCGCAUACGAUCUACGGAUGAAAGCAGGGGACCGCAAGGCCUUGCGCGAAUGGAGCGGCCGAUGGCAGAUUAGGUAGUUGGUGAGGUAAAGGCUCACCAAGCCUUCGAUCUGUAGCUGGUCUGAGAGGACGACCAGCCACACUGGGACUGAGACACGGCCCAGACUCCUACGGGAGGCAGCAGUGGGGAAUUUUGGACAAUGGGCGCAAGCCUGAUCCAGCGACGCCGCGUGUGUGAAGAAGGCCUGCGGG
rnacentral:rRNA from 1 species